UCUGCAACUCGACUACAUGAAGCUGGAAUCGCUAGUAAUCGCGGAUCAGAAUGCCGCGGUGAAUACGUUCCCGGGUCUUGUACACACCGCCCGUCACACCAUGGGAGUCAGUAACGCCCGAAGCCGGUGACCCCAACCUAUUCUGGAGGGAGCCGUCGAAGGCGGGACGGAUGACUGGGGUGAAGUCGUAACAAGGUACC
rnacentral:rRNA from 1 species